CUGAGAGCAGCUCAGAGCAGCGGACGCCCAGGGGAGCUGCGCAGCCCUGCAGGGAGGCGCCUGGGUCCUGAGGUUGCAGGAGGCAAAGCCGCUCCUGCCCAGUGGACGAGAACAGCAGCACUCACGGCCGGCAGGACAAAGCGGCCUUCGAGGCUGGGGGUCCCGUGGCACCGCAGAGUAUGGGUAGGACUCUGCACAUCACAGCCCGGGGCGACCACCCCC